rnacentral:rRNA from 1 species
UACAGGGGGAUGCAAACGUUGCUCGGAAUUAUUGGGACGUAAGCGCGCGUAGGCGGCCACUUAAGUCGGAAUGUGAAAGCCCUUGGCUCAACUGAGGAAGUGCACCCGAAACUGGAUGGCUUGAAUUCGGGGAGAAGGGAUGCGAGAAUUCCAGGUGUAGCGGUGAAAUGCGUAGAUAUCUGGAGGAAUACCGGUGGCGAAGGCGGCAUCCUGGACCGACAUUGACUGCUGAGGUGCGAAAGCGAUG